GCAUGCUGAGUCUGACAGCACAGCGGGUCGACGAGGAUUUCGUACUGAGGAAAGCCGUAUUGCAUGCUCAAGAAUGUGCUGGUUCUCACACCGCUGCUGCCAUUUCAAUGGCAUUUGAGAACAUGUUUGAAACAUGAACACACUCCUAGCUCCAUUCGAACAACUGACUCGAGAAAUAAGCUCUUCAACUGCGUCUGCAGCAGAUGUGAUACCCUUUAUCAUGGCAUUGAAACACCUGCUCAACAAAAUUUCCAAAACAGACCGUGGGGUUAAAACUUGUAAAAGUACUCUGCUAGAUGCUGUAAACAAGUGAUUUGGUGGCAUUCUCUCUGAGCCACUUUACUGUGUUGCCACCAUGCUCGAUGCUAGGUACAAGGACCGCUACUUUGAUGCAGACAAGAAAUAGGGUUUACGUGAAAUGUUAGACACAGCUGGACAAGAUAGAAACGGACACAGUGAGCGCCGAUGAAGAGGACCAAGACAGAAGAGGCCACGGACCGACAGAGCUGAAACUUCACUGCUCAACAUGUAUGAUGAAAUCCUCAGAAUGAAACGACUGAACAGCACAGCAAGGUUCUUCCUUCUCUGCUGUCUUGGGCUGAUCCAGCUCCACACAGAUCAGACUACAAGGAGAAACAAUAACAGGACCGACUCAGGUACUCAGACACAGUGGAGCGCGCCGCCAGAGAGCUUCCGGGCGGCCUCGUCACACACCCAGCAAAGCAUCCCUCUCCUGCCCGAGUACAUCCACAGGCGGUGCAGGAAACCAAAGUCAUCUGGAGCACCCCAGAAAAAGAGGCAACAAACACAGGUAACAAUGAAAACGAGUCACAUUCAGAUAACGUUCCAAAAUUACCGAUAGAAAGAUCCUGGUCCUCUGUCGCUCAGUUGGUUGCAAAGCCAGGAUAGUGGGUUGGAUCCCUGGGAUCACCCAUACAUAAAAGAAAUGUAUGCAUUCAUGGCUGGCUUUGGAUGAAAGCGUCUGCUAAAUGGCAAUUAAAUGUAAAAAAAAAUGUUGACUCACAUCAAAGGGCCCUGUCCAGGAUACAGAUAGCAAUAGACAUCAGAGUCCAGCACUUUGGCAGAUGUCUGCAGCACUGCAAAACGAGACAACAGUCCCACACACCCCCCAACAAAACGUCAAAAGGCACCGUCCCUGAAUUAGUCUGUUGUACAUUCAAACAUA